rnacentral:tRNA from 1 species
GCGCUUGUGGCGGAACUGGUAGACGCUGCAGACUUAAAAUCUGUUGCCCGCAAGGGCGUGCCAGUUCGAGUCUGGCCAGGCGCACCA